rfam:Triticum aestivum genome assembly, contig: Triticum_aestivum_CS42_TGACv1_scaffold_157916_2DL
AAUAUACUUCCUCUGUCUCAUGUUAUCAAAAUGGAUAAAAAGAAAUGUAUCUAGAAUUAAAAUACGUCUAGAUACAUCCCAUUUUAUCCAUUUUGAUGACAAGUAUUUUCGGACGGAGGGGUAUUUC